GCCAGUGUGGCAUAGUGGUUUUAGUGUUGGACUAUGACUCGGAAUUCCAAGGUUCAAUUCCCAGCUCAGCA